AUUGAACGCUGGCGGUAUGCCUUACACAUGCAAGUCGAACGGUAACAGAGGAAAGCUUGCUUUCUUGCUGACGAGUGGCGGACGGGUGAGUAACGCGUGGGAAUCUACCUGGUAGUUGGGGAUAGCCCGGAGAAAUCCGGAUUAAUACCGAAUACGAUCUACGGAUGAAAAGGUGCCUCUGCUUGCAAGCACUUGCUACCAGAUGAGCCCGCGUUAGAUUAGUUAGUUGGUGGGGUAAAGGCCUACCAAGACUGCGAUCUAUAGCUGGUUUGAGAGGAUGAUCAGCCACAUUGGGACUGAGACACGGCCCAGACUCCUACGGGAGGCAGCAGUGGGGAAUAUUGGACAAUGGGCGCAAGCCUGAUCCAGCAAUACCGCGUGUGUGAAGAAGGCCUUCGGGUUGUAAAGCACUUUUAUAUGGGAAGAAGGGUAUAUAGUUAAUAGCAUUAUGCUUUGACGGUACUGUAUGAAUAAGCACCGGCUAACUCCGUGCCAGCCGCCGCCGUAAUAC
rnacentral:rRNA from 1 species